GAAAGACCUGCUAUCAGCCCACCCUGCUAGUUCAUGAUCGUGGUCUAGUUCUGGGGGUCCUGGUGGGUGGUGCACUAAACAAAAGCCAGCACCGUGCCCUGGUGGUAACGAAGGUAACAGCAUCCUGGGCUGCAUCAGCAGGAGCCUGGCCAGAAGACAGAGGCAAGCGAUUACGGCCCUUUACUUGGCACUUGUUAGAGCACAGUAGGAACAUUGUGUCCAGUUUUGGGCCCCCAGUACCGGAAAGAUGUCAGUAAACUGUUGGGAGCUCAGCAGAGGGCCACCAUGAGGACAGAUGGCUGGAGCACUUGUGCUGUGAGGAGAGGAGAGGAAGAAAAUGAACUUGCUCAGCUGGCAGAAGAGAAGAUUUUGAGGAAAGCUUUCCGGUACUUACAAGAAGCCGGGCCCUUUACUGAGGGGCAGAAGAAUGAGACCCAAUGGUCAUGAACUGAAAUUGGCAGUUCAGACUGGAUAUCAGGAGCUACUUCCGCCAGUCUUGCACUGCAAGUCUGCUGUCACUGUACCCUGCAGGCUUCAGUCUGCCCCGAGUAUUGGAAGGGCCAGACUUCUAGGAUGAUUUCACAUCGUGCCCUUCAGUUUGCACCAUCAGAGGGGAUGCGCACCUGAUACGGGGUUUGUGAUCUAGAAAGUUGUAGUGGUAGUAAAUAUCAAAGGCUGCAGGGAGGCCUGAUUGACAAUAACCUCUUUAUCUGUUACUUUCUGCAGUUGAAAUUGAUGCAGUCGGAGCUGAAUGUUGAAGAAGUGGUAAACGACAGAAGCUGGAAGGUAUUUAACGAGCGUUGCCGAAUUCACUACAAGCCUCCGAAGAGUCAAUAAUGUGGGGUAUUUUCCAUCAAGGUGGUCCAUAACCAUGAGAGCCAAACUGGAAAGAGACCUUGGGUGAGCUGUAUUGGGACCCUCCAGAACCAAUAGAACCCAGUCUUGUUUUGUUUUGGACCUACUUAGCUGAAAUCUCAAGGUUGAAAUGAUUCUCCUGUAAUUGAGAGAAAACCACUCGUCUUUUGUACAAAAUAUGUGAACAAAUGAGUUUUAUAGUAUUAAAAUAAUUUUCAAAUGGAA